CUACAAAUUUCUGAAAUUACUUUAAUGCAAAGUAUUUUGCACUGUAUUCAAUGCAAUUUAAAACAAAACUGCAUAUCAUAAAUUUGCCUAUUUCUUCAGCUGCAAAGAAUCAUCAAGACAAAAUCCUUAUUGGAUCUGAAAUAAAUAUGUUUAUUGACAGUAUUCUUCUGAAGUGUCUUGCUAGGAUAAAGUGGAGAGAGGAAUGGGAAGAUGCAAAUUUGAAGCAAAUUAUAUGCAAGGAAUUUUUUUGCAACAUUAGACAUCGAAGGAUAGAGACAAUAAGAGUGAAACAUUGGAAUUCAAAGCAAAAAAGAUGGUAAAGAUAUCAGAGAGAACUAGUGCAAAAGUUGAAUAGUUGACCACUCUGACCACUGUUAGAUAAAAUUUAAGAUCAUCUACUACAGCACAGUCAAUCUUAGGUACUGCAGCAGAUGGUCUUAAAUCUUACUUAACACUAUGCUAUUUCUGAAAAAUCAAUUCCAUCAAAAGCAUUUCAAAUGUAAAAAAUGUAGCCAAGUCUUGUGCCUCUUUAUCUGUAAAAAGUUGUGAGAUACCAUGAGAGCUAAGUCUAGCACCCUUAUUUGCUCAGACACUUUUAUUCACAAAUCACUCCAAG
rnacentral:lncRNA from 1 species